CUCGGUCUGGCCAACGGUGGGACGACGUCCGCCCUCGGUGCGGGCGGCGAGACGACGUGCCGCUCGGCCGGCAUGUCCGAGA
rnacentral:tRNA from 1 species